rnacentral:rRNA from 1 species
AACGAACGCUGGCGGCAUGCCUAACACAUGCAAGUCGAACGAUGCUUUCGGGCAUAGUGGCGCACGGGUGCGUAACGCGUGGGAAUCUGCCCUUCGGUUGGGAAUAACUGAGAGAAAUUUCAGCUAAUACCUUAUAAUGUCUUCGGACCAAGGAUUUAUCGCCGAGGGAUGAGCCCGCGUAGGAUUAGGUAGUUGGUGGGGUAAUGGCCUACCAAGCCGACGAUCCUUAGCUGGUCUGAGAGGAUGAUCAGCCACACUGGGACUGAGACACGGCCCAGACUCCUACGGGAGGCAGCAGUGGGGAAUAUUGGACAAUGGGCGCAAGCCUGAUCCAGCAAUGCCGCGUGAGUGAUGAAGGCCUUAGGGUUGUAAAGCUCUUUUACCAGGGAUGAUAAUGACAGUACCUGGAGGAUAAGCUCCGGCUAACUCCGUGCCAGCCGCCGCCGUAA